AUUGAACGCUGGCGGCAUGCCUUACACAUGCAAGUCGAACGGUAACAGGUCUUCGGAUGCUGACGAGUGGCGUACGGGUGAGUAAUACAUCGGAACGUGCCCGAGAGUGGGGGAUAACGAAGCGAAAGCUUUGCUAAUACCGCAUACGAUCUCAGGAUGAAAGCAGGGGACCGCAAGGCCUUGCGCUCACGGAGCGGCCGAUGGCAGAUUAGGUAGUUGGGGGGAUAAAAGCUUACCAAGCCGACGAUCUGUAGCUGGUCUGAGAGGACGACCAGCCACACUGGGGCUGAGACACGGCCCAGACUCCUACGGGAGGCAGCAGUGGGGAAUUUUGGACAAUGGGCGCAAGCCUGAUCCAGCCAUGCCGCGUGCAGGAUGAAGGCCUUCGGGUUGUAAACUGCUUUUGUACGGAACGAAAAGACUCUGGUUAAUACCUGGGGUCCAUGACGGUACCGUAAGAAUAAGCACCGGCUAACUACGUGCCAGCCGCCGCUGUAACAC
rnacentral:rRNA from 1 species